rnacentral:rRNA from 1 species
ACGGGCCCUUUUAAUCAGCGUCGGGCAAUCUGCCCUGCACUCUGGGACAAGCCCUGGAAACGGGGUCUAAUACCGGAUACUGAUCUACUUCGGCAUCCAAGUGGUUCGAAUGCUCCGGCCGUGCAGGAUGAGCCCGCGGCCUAUCAGCUUGUUGGUGAGAGUAACCGCUCACCAAGGCGACGACGGGUAGCCGGCCUGAGAGGGCGACAGGCCACACUGGGUCAGAGACUCGGCCCAGUCUCCUACGGGAGCAGCAGUGGGGAAUAUUGCACAAUGGGCGAAAGCCUGAUGCAGCGAGGCCGCGUGACGGAUGACGGCCUUCGGGUUGUAAACCUCUUUCAGCAGGGAAGAAGCGAAAGUGACGGUACCUGCAGAAGAAGCGCCGGCUAACUACGUGACAGCACCCGCGGUAAUACGUGGGCCCAAGCGUUGUCCGGAAUUAUUGGCGUAAAGACCUCGUAGGCGGCUUGUCACGUCGGUUGUGAACGCCCGGGGCUUAACCCCGGGUCUGCAGUAGAUACGGGCAGGCUAGAGUUCGGUAGGCGCGAUCCGGAAUUCCUGGUGUAGCGGUGAAAUGCGCAGAUAUCAGGAGGAUCACCGCUGGCGAAUGCGGAUCU